CUCUUAUCAAGAGAGGUGGAGGGACUGGCCCGAUGAAGCCCAGCAACCAUCCCUGACAGGGAAAGGUGCUAAUUCCAGCAAUACAGAUAAGUAUUGAGAGAUGAGGG
rnacentral:ncRNA from 2 species